rnacentral:ncRNA from 1 species
CCUGUCGCGGUCGCACUCAAAUCACCCAAGCACAUUUGGUGUAUGCUAAUGAUGCGACGCUACCAUCUGUGGGAUUAUUACUGAACGCCUCUAAGUCAGAAUCCCCCCUAAACGUAACGAUACCAUAGCACCAUGGAUAUUCGGUUGGCCCAGGAUAGUCUGCCUCUUUUGGCAGGUGAGUAGAGCCGUUCGUGACGGGGUUGGGGUGCGGCCGGAUGAGUUUCCGCCCCUCUCCUGAUGUGCACCGCAUUUUGUGGGGAACCUGGUGCUAAAUCACUCGUAGACUACCUGAUUCUGGGUCAGGGUUUCAUACGUAACAGAGCAACUCACUCGCUGUGAUCUAUUGAAAGUCAGACCAAUAUCCAAGCUUUU